rnacentral:rRNA from 1 species
UCAUGGCCCUUAUGUCCAGGGCUACACACGUGCUACGAUGGGCGGUACAAAGGGUCGCGAACCCGCGAGGGGGAGCCAAUCCCAAAAAGCCGCUCUCAGUUCGGAUUGCAGGCUGCAACUCGCCUGCAUGAAGCCGGAAUCGCUAGUAAUCGCGGAUCAGCAUGCCGCGGUGAAUACGUUCCCGGGCCUU